rnacentral:ncRNA from 1 species
CAGAGUAAGUUUUUCUGCGUCAAGUGCCGACCGGACGGGGAGUUGCCGGGCGGACGAAGGCUGUCGCCGCGGUAGAAAAACUGCAUCCCGCUGU